ensembl:lncRNA
UCUGGAGAAAGCUGAUCCGCUGCUGACGGUGCAGGAAAGCCUGAUGCGAGCGGAUGAUGCUGUCAGACUCAGCUGCUGCACUCCAGGAAUUGAAUCAGCAUGCUUUUGCCAAGGGCCAAAAUUCAAAUGCAAUACAACUGUGCAAAAUUAAUGCAGUUUCCAGUGAAAAUCAGCGGAAGGAAACCGGAUCAGAUCCACUUCAGCGACGGAAAUGAGCGAUGAAUGACUUCCAUGAAUCUGGACGGAUCGCAAACUCCCAGCAGAGUUUGUCUGUGUGAACGUCUGCUGCAAUCGACCCGUAAAAACAACCUGGACUCAACCAUUUAGAAGUGAGAUACUAAAGUCCAGGAUGAUUUAAGAUGUGUGUGAUAUCAUAAUGGAUGUGUUCAUCAGAUAAUGUCAUGAUAAUGCGAUGCACAUGUGAGUUAAACUGUUGAUAGUUUCAGAGCGUCUCAGUUUUAGAAGACGUAUAAGGGCAGGACAGAGUCAGUGACAUGCAUGAAAUGUAGAGCUGAACUUUUGAGUGAUUCUGCAGGUUUGAAAGUGUUUGCCCUCUGUGUGUCUGACUCUUCAUCAAUGGAAAUGAGUCUAUAUAUCAGAGUGACACGCCACUCAGCAGGAAAGUGCCAAAAAACAGCCUGAUUUAAAUAAGGGCAAUGAGGAAGCACUGAAAGCAGAAAAGUAUGGAGCGUACUUUCCUUUGGAGAUCACUUUGAUUUAUAUUCAACCUGGAAAGUUUGGCUACAGCUUUCAGAAAGCAGAGACACAAACCAAGCAACCUUGAACAUCUGCAGCGACCAGCUCUUGUGUCAAUCAAGCAUUAGGUGCAGAAUAACACCUGAAAGUGACUAUUUACUGUAUUAAUGCAUGCUCCUAGUGUUAUUAUGAAUGAUUCAUCAGCAGUGUUGGGGGUAACGCGUUACAAGUAACCCGAGUUACAUAAUCAGAUUACAUUUUUCUAGUAAAGUAACACAUUGUAACAUGUAACACGUAAACUUUAAAAAAUAAUUUUUAGUGUAAAGUACUGUUGUUUUAGUUUAAUAUUCUGUUAUUUAUUCAUAUUAUUAUUAUAAUUUUUAUUAGUAAUUUUGUUAUGAGAUUUGCUUAUUUUUAUUACUUGUGUUUUUUUCCUUCUCUCUUUUAGAUUUAGUAAUUUAAGUACUUAAACUCAAUCUAAUAUUUAUAUUUUAUUUAGCUAUAUUUCAAUUACUGAACAUGUACUGUUAACAAUAACAGUACUGUAUUAGUACUAAUAACUACUUCAUACUAACAGUAUGUGCUUUGUUUGUGAUAAAAAAGCAUACUUUUUUCUAUUUAAUGUAAAGACAUGCUGCCACAUAUUGAAAUUGCUUUUUGAUACCACAAACUCUUUGUAACAUGCUGCUUGUGUAAAGGUAGACCCAAAAAUUAAAAUGAGCUCAGGUCAUCCGAGAUGUAGAUGAGUUUGUUUCUUCAUCAGGUUUGUAGAAAUGUAGCACUGCAUCAGUGUCUCAGCAAUUGAUGCUCUGCAGUGAAUGGGUGCCGUCAGAAUGAGAGUCCAAACAGCUGAUAAAAACAUCACAAUAAUCCACAAGUAAUCCACAGCACUCCAGUCCAUCAGUUAACAUCUGGAGAAGACAAAAGAUGAAACACAUCCAGGAGGAAGUGUUAUUAUGGAUUAUGGACUCUAUGUAUUUUAGUUUUUCAGCAUAUUUUCAUUUUUGGGUGAACUAUUCCUUUAAAUUGUAUUCUUGUUUCACUUUUACGUGGGCAAUAUAACACGAGAAAGCAUACAAACAGUGGAUCUUUCAGGCAUUUUUGUGAAUGUAAUAUGAUUUAUUCUCUCUCAUUAUUGAGGAUGGAUAUGCAGUUUUAGGACUUUAAACAAGAGCUGACUGUCUUCAGCUGUGGGACACUGCAGAGAGGUCAGUUAUCAUAGCUGUGCUGACCUUUGACCUUCAUGUUUUCUGUGAUCUCUGGAAUUUCAUGUCGUGAACAAAACAAUAACAACAGCUGUCUCUUAUUAUUUCCCUGCUCAGAUGUCAGUGGCUGACAUCCAGAGGUUAUUCGCUCGGAUGGAUUUCAGAGAAUUUUAUCACUUCUCAACGCUCUAAAAAUAGUAAUAUCAGCAGCGACUCUGAGACCGCAAACACUUUAUAUUUAACAGAAGGUUGCGAAGGUUACAUCUAUUAAUUUCACAGUGAAGGCGAUGGAAAGCUGAGAGUGAAAUGUAUUGUCCUUUCAGUGAUGAAUGUGAUUCUGUGUUGCAGUAAAUCUGAGCAUCGCAGGCAGACGCUCCUGAUGAACAGACAAUAACCCUGAUGCAUCGUUUCCAGGAAAGUCCUCCGUGAUAUCGACCCCUCCUUUGCACUUAUUAAAGACACAGCGAGGUGCAAUCAGAAUACAGGCAAGUUUGUUUGUGCAGAUGUUUUCUCAUCUGUAAUAAACUGUGCAAACAAAACA